GCUCCCGGGCCGGGUAAUUCCCGGGCAAUGACCAGACCUCGUCCCCGCGCUGACCCUUCCUGGGGACAUCGGGUGGGGGUGGAGGAGGCGCUGAGCUAGGGAGAGGAGGGUUGUGCGGCCCGGACCACGCAACCUUGGGAUCGGAGGGUGGUUGAGGCCUUGAGGGAAGAAUGGAAGGCGGCCUUGACUUCUGGUGCUUCCACGCCCUUCAGAUCCAGAGCCCAGAGCGUCCAGGCUGGAGUUUAGGACGUUCAUCAGAGUCCCGAGACGCGCGAGUGGGUGGAACCGCGUGGGGCGGGAGAAGAGGGGGAGAUUAGGCAGCAAGAAAAUGGUCCCCGUGGGCAGUUCAGCCUAAACCUGGAGCUGGGGAAGGGCCUCUGGAGAGAAGCCUUAAAUCGUUACUCAUCUUUCACAGUCUUUUAUAAUCGUGAAUGAGCCCUCCGUUGUAGACUGUUAAUGCGUGUCCAGGAUGCCCGAGAGUGGGGGUAAAACAAUAAAAGACUCCUCCUGUUGUGAUUAAAAUUAUAUUUGCUUUUUGUAUCCUCCUAAGUUCCAUGAUAUUGAAAAUGUGUCUUGUUAUAUUUCAUAAAUGAGCUUUUAAAAAACUUCUGAGAUAUCUUCCAAAAAGUAUCACUCACCAGGGAAGAAAAGAAGAGGAAACCUAGUGGCUUUU
rnacentral:lncRNA from 1 species